rnacentral:misc_RNA from 1 species
AAGUCGUAACAAGGUUUCCGUAGGUGAACCUGCGGAAGGAUCAUUAAUGUGUUGGGCUUCGGCCCGUUCACACCCCUUGUUUAACUCUGGUUUCUUUGGCGAUGUCCUGGACUCGUCAAACUUUAACUCUGGGAAUGUGAUAACGUCGGAGUGAUAUUCAAUAAUCAAAACUUUCAACAACGGAUCUCUUGGUUCCA